CAGGUAGGACUACCCGCUGAACUUAAGCAUAUCAAUAAG
rnacentral:rRNA from 6 species